rnacentral:misc_RNA from 1 species
CAUACCAGUAGCCCGCAUCGAUGAAGAACGCAGCGAAGUGCGAUAAGCAAUGCGAAUUGCAGAAUUCCGCGAAUCAUCAGAUCUUUGAACGCAAAUGGCGCCAGAGGGAUAUCCUUCCGGCAUGUCUGUUUCAGUGUCUGAGAGGUUUCACAAAAUCUUAAUGUGAUUGAUGAACUGUUAGGAAGGCUAACCCCUUCUCUACACAACAUCUCUCAUGAAAGAUGUUCGAGUGGAUCUUUUGGUCCAAUGAAGUGGUCACAUCACUCGCAUGUGAUUUCAUUGGGAUCACCAAAUUAUCCGCAUGCUCGAAGUACACUCUCUUGUCUUGGGAGGGGUAACACCCAAACAAGACAACACUCCACACCCUGCAUCUGAGACAGGCAAGAUCACCCGCUGAACUUAA